AAUCAACGCUGGCGGCGUGCCUCAGACAUGCAAGUCGAACGAUUAAAGCUCUCUUCGGAGAGUGCAUAGAGUGGCGCACGGGUGAGUAACACGUAAGUAAUCUACCCUCGAGUGGGGAAUAACGUCCGGAAACGGACGCUAAUACCGCAUAAUGCAGCGGCACCGCAAGGUGACAGUUGUUAAAGAUUUAUCGCUUGAGGAGGAGCUUGCGGCAGAUUAGCUAGUUGGUAAGGUAAUGGCUUACCAAGGCUACGAUCUGUAUCCGGUCUAAGAGGACGGUCGGACACACUGACACUGAAUAACGGGUCAGACUCCUACGGGAGGCAGCAGUCGGGAAUUUUGGGCAAUGGGCGAAAGCCUGACCCAGCAACGCCGCGUGAAGGAUGAAGUAUUUCGGUAUGUAAACUUCGAAAGAAUAGGAAGAAUAAAUGACGGUACUAUUUAUAAGGUCCGGCUAACUACGUG
rnacentral:rRNA from 1 species